UACAGAGACUGCAAGCGUUAUUCGGAUUCACUGGGCGUAAAGGGUGCGCAGGCGGCCAAGUGUGUGAGGCGUGAAAGCCCGGGGGCUUAACCCCCGGAAUUGCACCUCAAACUACAUGGCUAGAGCAUUGGAGAGGGUAGCGGAAUUCACGGUGUAGCAGUGAAAUGCGUAGAUAUCGUGAGGAACACCAGAGGCGAAGGCGGCUACCUGGACAAAUUUUGCUGACGCUCAGGGCACGAAAAAGCGUG
rnacentral:rRNA from 1 species